rnacentral:tRNA from 1 species
UGGGGUGUAGCUCAGUGUUAGUGUGCUUGCCUAGCAUGUGUGAGGGCCUGGGUUCCAUCCCCAGCACUGCAA